rnacentral:lncRNA from 1 species
UACCCCAUAAUUUUCUUAAUUAAUUCUGGCAUGUGACAUUAAAGGAAUUGGUGGAAAACUAAAAGGUGGUUAAGAGUCUUAAGGAAGAAGGACUCUUUCUCUUCUUAACGCAAAUAGAGGGUGGUGGCAUUUAUUUUUGAUGGAAAACUAGAGUGGCAUAAAGGAGUCCUUCCACACUUGAAACUCUUCCAAGUUAAGUAGGA